rnacentral:rRNA from 1 species
GCAUAUCAAUAAGCGGAGGAAAAGAAACCAACAGGGAUUGCCUCAGUAACGGCGAGUGAAGCGGCAACAGCUCAAAUUUGAAAUCUGGCCUCUUUGGGGUCCGAGUUGUAAUUUGUAGAGGAUGUUUCGGGUACCGCCUCGGUUUAAAUUUCUUGGAACAGAAUGUCAGAGAGGGUGAGAAUCCCGUCUUGGACCGGCGGUAGGGCCCAUGUGAAACUCCUUCGACGAGUCGAGUUGUUUGGGAAUGCAGCUCAAAAUGGGUGGUAAAUUUCAUCUAAAGCUAAAUAUUGGCCAGAGACCGAUAGCGCACAAGUAGAGUGAUCGAAAGAUGAAAAGCACUUUGAAAAGAGAGUUAAACAGUAUGUGAAAUUGUUGAAAGGGAAGCGCUUACAACCAGACUUGAGCGCGGCGGUUCCCCCUUCCUUUUGGUUGGGUUACUCCGCCGUGUCCAGGCCAACAUCGGUUCUGGGGGUCGGUCAAAGGCUUUGGGAAUGUACCUACCCUUCGGGCGUAGACUUAUAGCCCAGAGUGUCAUGCGGCCUCCCGGGACCGAGGAACGCGCUUCGGCUCGGAUGUUGGCGUAAUGGUUGUCAGCGACCCGUCUUGAAACACGGACCAAGGAGUCUAACAUCUAUGCGAGUGUUUGGGUGUCAAACCCGGAACGCGAAAUGAAAGUGAACGGAGGUAGGAAGCCGUGAGGCUGCACUAUCGACCGAUCCUGAUGUCUUCGGAUGGAUUUGAGUAAGAGCAUAGCUGUUGGGACCCGAAAGAUGGUGAACUAUGCCUGAAUAGGGUGAAGCCAGAGGAAACUCUGGUGGAGGCUCGCAGCGGUUCUGACGUGCAAAUCGAUCGUCAAAUUUAGGUAUAGGGGCGAAAGACUAAUCGAACCAUCUGGUAGCUGGUUCCUGCCGAAGU